GCGUAGGGUAUGUAGGUGGUGGAAAAAAGUAAAAAUGAAAUACUAGAUUAUCAUCUUUUGUGUUUUUAUGUAAUUUCACUAGAAUCUUAGAUGGGAUGGUGGUACUUUUUAGGUAACAGUUAAAUGUGUUGAUAAAAAAAGGACCGACGGAGGUGAAAGCGACCAUCCUUUCAAGUAUUGAGCUAAGGUACGAAGGCAGGGGAGCAAAGAGGAUUAGAUACCCUCGUAGUCCGUGAGUAAACGCUGAGUUUUCAAUGUAGAGAAUAAACCCUAAUAUAAAGAGGCAAUAUGUAUUAGGUUUUAUAUGCAAUUUUUGGCGUUCAAGUAACGCGUAAAAUUCUCCGCUGGGAAGUACGGCCGCAGGUUGAAACUCAAAAGAAUUGAGGUGACUUGAACGAGG
rnacentral:rRNA from 1 species